ensembl:snRNA U2 U2 spliceosomal RNA
AUCACUUCUUAGCCUUUUGACUAAGAUCAAGUGUGGUAUUAGUUCUUGUCAGUUUAGUGUCUGAUGCAUCCUCUAUCCGAGGAUAAUGUAUUGGGUGGAUUUUUGGAGCAGAAAGUUGGAAUAGGAGCUUGCUCCGUCCACUCCACACAGCGACCUGGUAUUGCAGUACUUCCAGGAAUGGUGCACCAGUA